UACGGCUAAAGCACGCUGAAAUCUCCGGUUCUCGUUCGAUCACCGAAGUUAAGUAGCAUCGAGCCUCGUCGGCACUUAAAUGGGAGAUCGUUUUGGAACAUCGGAUACUGUAA